rnacentral:rRNA from 1 species
UGGGGAAUUUUGGACAAUGGGCGAAAGCCUGAUCCAGCCAUGCCGCGUGCAGGAUGAAGGCCUUCGGGUUGUAAACUGCUUUUGUACGGAACGAAAAGACUCUGGUUAAUACCUGGGGUCCAUGACGGUACCGUAAGAAUAAGCACCGGCUAACUACGUGCUAGCAGCCGCGGUAAUACGUAGGGUGCAAGCGUUAAUCGGAAUUACUGGGCGUAAAGCGUGCGCAGGCGGUUAUAUAAGACAGAUGUGAAAUCCCCGGGCUCAACCUGGGAACUGCAUUUGUGACUGUAUAGCUAGAGUACGGGCAGAGGGGGGAUGGAAUUUCCCGCGUGUAGCAGUGAAAUGCGUAGAUAUGCGGAGGAACACCGAUGGCGAAGGCAAUCCCCUGGGCCUGUACUGACGCUCAUGCACGAAAAGCGUGGGAAGCAAAACAGGAUUAGAUACCCUGGUAGUCCACGCCCUAAACGAUGUCAACUGGUUGUUGGGGUCUUCACUGACUCAGUAACGAAGCUAAACGCGUGAAGUUGACCGCCUGGGGGAGUACGGCCGCAAGGUUUGAAAACUUAAAAGGAAUUGACGGGGGUCAUAGCUGUUUCC